CAGGAUUUAUUCUGUUUUCCCCCAUUGCUCUGGGCAAUAGCAUAGAGCUUGUGUGCAUCCAACUCUUGGUACAACUGAGCAGGAUACUUUGAUACGUAGAAAACUUUGCUUAAGUUGAGGCAAUGUCCUUUGGACACACAUUUAAAUGACAUAACAGGAGUUCUGUUGUGAAGUUCAGGACAAGUUUGAGUGCUCUGGAGGGUAACUUCAUCUGUUUUUUCAUAGCUCAUUAACAUGGAUUUGUCCUAAAGACAGUGCCUUAAAAAUGGAAACCUCUUGUAUUCAAACCAGCAGAUAAAAGAUUCUCCUUUAAAGAAAAAGAAAAAAAAGAAAAAAAGAAAAAAGAAAGAAAAAAGAGAAGAAAGCAAUGUACAGAUUACAUUAUUUUGGCACUGGAACAGAAAUACCCCAAACUAAACCCCAGAAUGAAAGCAAGGCAACUCCCCUUGGCCCUGCCCAUCCUUCCCCCUGCCCUCCUGCCCACUCUACCUACAAGAAGACGGAAGGAGACAGUUUUUGAAAGCACCCAGCUGUAAUUGGUGAGCACGCUUGUCCAGGGAGCCAUCCCAUGGCACAGAAUGGGCUUCAGCUCCUCUCCAUCUGGCACAGGACGGCUAUGAGAGCAGAGACUGCCACCCACCAAUCACACCUUCCCACCUCUAGAGUAGACAAAGAUGGCUCUUUAGGUCAUUUUAUUUUAUUUCUUUGUUGUUUCCCCCCCCCUUUUUUUUCUCCUCCCCCCGUUUUUUUUUUUUUACAAAAAUUUCUACAUCUAAAUCACUUUGCUAUAGAAACAUUAUUUUCUUUCCUUUUUUUUUUUUUUUUUUUUUUUACAUUAGUUAAAGCAGAACCUGCUUUUGUGAAAAAAGACAAGGAUCAAGGUCUUAUUUCAUGCAGAAAAUGCAAAUUAAAGAACAUAAAAAUG
ensembl:lncRNA